rnacentral:rRNA from 1 species
ACUCCUACGGGAGGCAGCAGUAAGGAAUAUUGGUCAAUGGACGAAAGUCUGAACCAGCCAUGCCGCGUGGAGGAUGAAGGCCCUCUGGGUUGUAAACUUCUUUUAUCUGGGACGAAAAAGGACCUUUCUAGGUCAACUGACGGUACCAGAGGAAUAAGCACCGGCUAACUCCGUGCCAGCAGCCGCGGUAAUACGGAGGGUGCAAGCGUUAUCCGGAUUCACUGGGUUUAAAGGGUGCGUAGGUGGGCAGGUAAGUCAGUGGUGAAAUCUCUGGGCUUAACCCGGAAACUGCCAUUGAUACUAUUUGUCUUGAAUAUUGUGGAGGUCAGCGGAAUAUGUCAUGUAGCGGUGAAAUGCUUAGAUAUGACAUAGAACACCAAUUGCGAAGGCAGCUGGCUACACAUAUAUUGACACUGAUGCACGAAAGCGUGGGGAUCAAACAGGAUUAGAUACCCUGGUAGUC